CAUCAUCCUCCUCAACAGCCUCAGAAGGAGGAAGAUCAUCUUUCUUCCAACACGUCUCAACCAUACCUCCCCACUAAAAAAAAGGAAAGGCAAGGAGACUCCAUUGGUUGUGAGAGCAAAGACAAACCACCAGAAUGGCAUCCGUGGUGUCACUAGCCAUCCAGGUCCAAGUUCCAGCCAACUGAGUGGAGCUGGUUCACAGGCCAGACCAGCAUCUGGAAGACCAGACCAGCAUCUGGAAGACCAGACCAACAUCUGGAAGGAAUGAACUUAAAAUAGACAUGCGAGUAGGAGGCCAGGAGGGGAGGUCCAACUUACUUCAAGUAAAAUGGAAGAAAGUUACACUCUUGGAA